rnacentral:rRNA from 1 species
AUGGCGACUCCCCCCGCCGCCGCCGCACUCACCUUGGUGCUCUCCUGCGCGUCGCCCUCCAAGGACGAGGCCCACGUCGCCACCGACCUCAAGAGGCUCCUAACCGGGUCCUCCAAUCUUGUUGCUGGAGACUGUCAGCAGUGCUACGCAGAUGCUGACAGCAUCGACAAGCAAGACAGAUGCAGGGACGUCAAGGGCGCAUUCGGGCGAUUGGCGGCGGGGUGGGGCGAAUCGAGCUCGGUUACGGCUAGGUUGGGCUCUCCCGUGAAAUUCCGAGCCGUGAUCGGGGUUCGCGGCGGCGGUGUGGCGGCCGUUGUCAGAGUCGGCGCCGGUGGUGUUUUCUGUGGCGGCGGUGAUUGUUCGGCUUCGGAUUCAGGCUCGCCGACUCCGGCGGCGGUAGACGAGGGCGCUACGGCUCCGACGAAGGCAAGUGUGCAGACGCGUUUAGUGCUCGAUUCGAUGGCCACAUUCGAGGCAUCUGUUAUGAAGCAGCUUGAAGCUCUCUCCAAGGCCACUGAACAUCUCGGACGUAUUGACGAGAUAGCAGCUCGCCUGGACGAAUUGGAUUUGAAGAUGGCUGAACAAGUGCAACGGCUCGAUAUUGUUCAGAGUAACGUGAAUCUGACAAUGAAGUCCAUGGGUGAGGCGCGUCAGGAACAGGCAGAUGCAGCACGAGAAAUGCAGCACAAGCAAUCUCCCCACUCACCAACUACGGGUGGAGAUGGCAUUUUGGGCUCUCCUCCUUCUCAGAAACAACAGCAACCACAUGUACCUGUUACUUCUCAGGGUCGUAUAGCUGUUAAUACAGAUAGGCUGCAAGGUGAGACAGGUUCCAGUGGAGAGUUCCAGAGUAGAAAACCGUGGAUGCCAAAGAUGGACUUUCCUAGAUUUGAGGGCACUGAUGUUAGAAUUUGGUUGGAUGGGUGUGAGGCGUAUUUUUCCCUGUAUGACAUUCCAGAGGCGUUUAAGUCAGUUAGCGACACAUUCCUGGUCACCCGAUUCCUGAUGGGACUGAAAGAAGAGAUAAGGGGCGCAGUGGAGAUACAACUACCAAACAUAGUUUCGGAGGCUGCUGCUUAUGCUGUGAUACAAGAGGAGGUGGUUGGUAGGAACAAAUAUGGGAGACCAAACACUGGCAGAACUAUGGUCUCAAAGUAUGGUAACAAGAUUAACUCUGUUCCAUCUGGAGAACUUUGGAAAGCGCGUCAGCUGAAAGAGUUCAGGCGUGUUAAUGGUCUGUGUUACAGUUGUGGAGAGAAGUAUGUGCCAGGACAUAUCUGUUCCAAGACCACACCAACCCAGGUGCAUGUACUGCAGUCUGAAACUCCUGAAGUUUUAAGUGAUGAAGUUCUUGAUGUUGUGAUUGCCCAGGAAGAAGCAUUGGCUGAAAUGCAGUUAUCUGUGAAUGCUGUGUCAGGAGCUGAUCACCCAAAAACCAUUAGACUCAGAGCUUUAAUUGGCAAUCAGGUGGUUAUUAUUUUGUUGGACUCUGGCAGUACCAAUAGUUUUAUUGACUCUGCCUUAUUGCCAAGGAUUAAAGUGUCACCUAGACCACUGAACAAGACACUGUCUGUUAGAGUGGCUAAUGGAGAUAUGCUACAAUGUUCUGAAGAAGUGAUUGAUUUACACUGGUGGGUGCAAGGGCACACCUUCAAAUACGAUUUUAAAUCUAUUGCUUUGGGUGGGUAUGACAUGAUCCUAGGGAUAGAUUGGUUGGAGCAGUGGGGUGAAAUGGUGUGUCAGUGGAAGGAGAAAUGGGUGCAAUUUCAUCGGGAAGAUCAGAUCAUUAAGUUGCAAGGCAUGACAACUAGUGUCCCUACUGAACUGAAAGAGUUAUCAGUGGAACAGGCAAUUAGAUGGCACAAUGGCAAUGACAUUUGGGAUACUGUGCUUAUUUCCCCUCAGCCAAUUAAACAGAGAGAAGAGCCGUCGACCACCCUCCCCGCCCCGCGUCUUCGCUCAGUCGCCGCCUCGCUCCCCGCCAGCCAUCCUCCCUGCCCGCCGCCGCCGCCGCCACCAUCCUUCCCGUUUGUCGUUGCCACGCCAUCGCCGCCACCUACCAGACGGCGCUGUGAAGGACAACACCAGAGAGGGAUGGCGUCGCCGGUGUGGUGGAGGGUGAAGGAGGUGCACGUGGCAAGGUUGUCGUGCUGUCCCGCGGAUCCGUGCUGGCUGACGACAAGGUGGCCAGCAGGGUGCAGCACGCUCGAUACUACGCCGUCAACUGCCACCACCGGGCUCCCCCGAAGAUACAACUGCGGCAAUUUAUCGAUCCAAUUUGAAUGGAAGGAUAAUGAAUUAGCAGUUAAGGUGAUUAACCCCGGUAGGCAGGGGAUGCGAGGAGGCAGGAAGCACAGUUGCAGUGCGGAGCAAGGCAAGUUUUCUGACCCAUUUCCCCCAAGAAUUGUUUUGCUAUGGAUCGAGCAAGGCAACACUGCUCGGCUAGGGAUUUUCUUCCAUGGCAGCCAAAUCAAAGCGUUGCCGUCUUAUUUUCAUGACAGCGUGGUGUCUCAACGCGUGAUGGAUUCACUCACACGGAGGAAGCUUUUCUCCGCUACUCCAGCGACAAGCGCACAAGCUUUUGGGUCCAUGGCGCCACCACUAAACAAGAUUCUAAGAGUGCUUGCAACCUGCUAUAUGUUUAGUUGGUUCGCCGUGUGCUUCCGCAUUGCAUUGGUGCCGCUCGAACCCUGCUCGUGUCUGGACGCGUGCGUGUCUGGGUCGUCGUGGCAACUGGAUUCUAUAAAGGAUUUCAACAGAGUUCAUUGUGGGAACCUGAACCCUACUACCAUGUCUCCACUUUCAUGCAGUGGGCUUGACUGGAUCAUAAAGUUUUCUCGCCGAAGAUUCCCUACGCCACCAGCUACUACCCUGAUCCUCUCCCACCAUGGCACAACAAGGCACCUCUUCCUCUCCUGUGAAAUGGCAAAAGUAGACGUCCAGUGGUUAAGACUCUGUGCAGUCAACCAUGGCUUUGCGAGAGGACCAAGACAAGAGACUAAUGCUUCGCUGAGAAACAACAGACGUUGGAUCAUUGACUUAGACAGUCACCAAGCACCAAGGCGGUUACAAGUGUUGUCUUCCUCACGUGUCUUUGAGAUAUCCUAA